rnacentral:rRNA from 1 species
UACCUGGCGGCAGGCUACACAUGCNAGUCGGACGGUAGCACAGAGAGCUUGCUCUUGGGUGACGAGUGGCGGACGGGUGAGUAAUGUCUGGGGAUCUGCCCGAUAGAGGGGAUAACCACUGGAAACGGUGGCUAAUACCGCAUAACGUCGCAAGACCAAAGAGGGGGACCUUCGGGCCUCUCACUAUCGGAUGAACCCAGAUGGGAUUAGCUAGUAGGCGGGGUAAUGGCCCACCUAGGCGACGAUCCCUAGCUGGUCUGAGAGGAUGACCAGCCACACUGGAACUGAGACACGGUCCAGACUCCUACGGGAGGCAGCAGUGGGGAAUAUUGCACAAUGGGCGCAAGCCUGAUGCAGCCAUGCCGCGUGUAUGAAGAAGGCCUUCGGGUUGUAAAGUACUUUCAGCGGGGAGGAAGGCGAUGCGGUUAAUAACCGCGUCGAUUGACGUUACCCGCAGAAGAAGCACCGGCUAACUCCGUGCCAGCAGCCGCGGUAAU